rnacentral:rRNA from 1 species
GAUGAACGCUGGCGGCGUGCCUAACACAUGCAAGUCGAGCGAUCUUCUUCGGAAGAGAGCGGCGGACGGGUGAGUAACGCGUGGGUAACCUGCCUCAUACACAUGGAUAACAUACCGAAAGGUAUGCUAAUACAAGAUGAUAUAAGAGAUUCGCAUGAAUUUCUUAUCAAAGCUUUUGCGGUAUGAGAUGGACCCGCGUCUGAUUAGCUAGUUGGUAAGGUAAUGGCUUACCAAGGCUUCGAUCAGUAGCCGACCUGAGAGGGUGAUCGGCCACAUUGGAACUGAGACACGGUCCAAACUCCUACGGGAGGCAGCAGUGGGGAAUAUUGCACAAUGGGCGAAAGCCUGAUGCAGCAACGUCGCGUGAGCGAUGAAGGCCUUCGGGUCGUAAAGCUCUGUCCUCAAGGAAGAUAAUGACGGUA